rnacentral:rRNA from 1 species
AGUAACUGCGAGUGAAGCGGCAAGAGUUCAAAUUUGAAAUCUGACGUCUCUGGCGUUCGAGUUGUAAUUUGGAGAGAUAACUUCGGCGAUAGUGCCAUCCUAAGUUCCUUUGAACAGGACAUCACAGAGGGUGAGAAUCCCGUGCCAGGAUGGUAACAUAUCGUCUUGUGAAGUGUCUUCGACGAGUCGAGUUGUUUGGGAAUGCAGCUCAAAAUGGGUGGUAAAUUUCAUCUAAAGCUAAAUAUUGGCGAGAGACCGAUAGCGCACAAGUAGAGUGAUCGAAAGAUGAAAAGCACUUUGAAAAGAGAGUCAAAAAGUACGUGAAAUUGUUGAAAGGGAAGCGCUUGAGAUCAGACUCAACCUCUGGUAAUCAGCCAUGCUUCUGCACGGUGCAUUUGCCGCUGGUUGGGCCAGCAUCGGUUCCGGCGGUGGGAUAAAAGGCUGGGGAAUGUGACUUCCUUUGGGGAGUGUUAUAGCCUCGGUCACAAUGCCACCAGCAGGGAUCGAGGACCGCGCUUCUGCUAGGAUGCUGGCGUAAUGGUCUUAAGCGACCCGUCUUGAAACACGGACCAAGGAGUCUAACAUCUAUGCGAGUGUUCGGGUGGAAAACCCCUGCGCGUAAUGAAAGUGAACGGAGGUGGCAACCCGUCAGGGUGCACCAUCGACCGAUCCUGAUGUCUUCGGAUGGAUUUGAGUAAGAGCAUAGCUGUUGGGACCCGAAAGAUGGUGAACUAUGCCUGAAUAGGGUGAAGCCAGAGGAAACUCUGGUGGAGGCUCGCAGCGGUUCUGACGUGCAAAUCGAUCGUCAAAUUUGGGUAUAGG